GCGUCACCGGUGACGUCAUCACGUCACGAGGGGGCGUGGCCUCCACCUCUGUUCCCUUCCGCUUCCGACCUCUGGUUCAUUAGCAUAUGGAUAUCGGCUCUGUGAUGACGUCAUCGUGAUGGAUAAUUAAUGGGUUAUCAAUGCAUUAAUGACUGCAACAUCGCCCACAGAGCCCAUUGACCCCAUU